rnacentral:rRNA from 1 species
GGGCCCGCACAAGCAGCGGAGCAUGUGGUUUAAUUCGACGCAACGCGAAGAACCUUACCAGGUCUUGACAUCCAUUUAAAACUUAAGAGAUUAAGUGUGAGCAUGCUCAAAAUGAGACAGGUGGUGCAUGGUUGUCGUCAGCUCGUGUCGUGAGAUGUUGGGUUAAGUCCCGCAACGAGCGCAACCCCUACGGAUAGUUACUAACGGAUAAUGCUGAGGACUUUAUCAGGACUGCCGAGGACAACUCGGAGGAAGGUGGGGACGACGUCAAAUCAUCAUGCCCCUUAUGACCUGGGCUACACACGUGCUACAAUGGCCGUAACAAAGAGCAGCGAAGUCGCAAGGCGGAGCGAAUCUCAAAAAAACGGUCUCAGUUCGGAUUGUGGGCUGCAACCCGCCCACAUGAAGUCGGAGUUGCUAGUAAUCGCGAAUCAGCAUGUCGCGGUGAAUACGUUCCCGGGCCUU